rnacentral:rRNA from 1 species
GGUGCGGAACACGUACUGAACCUUCCUUUAAGUGGGGAAUAGCCCAGAGAAAUUUGGAUUAAUGCCCCGUAAUAUAUAGAAGUGGCAUCACUUUUAUAUUAAAGCUCCGGCGCUUAAUGAUGGCAGUGCGGCUGAUUACGUAGUUGGCGGGGUAACGGCCCACCAAGCCUGCGAUCAGUAACUGGUGUGAGAGCACGACCAGUCACACGGGCACUGAGACACGGGCCCGACUCCUACGGGAGGCAGCAGUAAGGAAUAUUGGUCAAUGGACGCAAGUCUGAACCAGCCAUGCCGCGUGGAGGAUGAAGGUCCUCUGGAUUGUAAACUUCUUUUAUCUGGGAAGAAAUCCACUUUUUCUAAAGUGGUUGACGGUACCAGAUGAAUAAGCACCGGCUAACUCCGUGCCAGCAGCCGCGGUAAUACGGAGGGUGCAAGCGUUAUCCGGAUUCACUGGGUUUAAAGGGUGCGUAGGUGGAUUGGAAAGUCAGUGGUGAAAUCUCCGGGCUUAACCCGGAAACUGCCAUUGAUACUAUCAGUCUUGAAUACCGUGGAGGUCAGCGGAAUAUGUCAUGUAGCGGUGAAAUGCAUAUA